AAAUGGUUAGUGGGGAGUCAAAAUGCUAAGUGUUCAACACUUAGCAUUUUGACUCCCCACUAACCAUUUU
rnacentral:miRNA from 1 species